rnacentral:rRNA from 1 species
GAUGAACGCUGGCGGCGUGCUUAACACAUGCAAGUCGAACGGAAAGGCCCUGCUUGCAGGGUACUCGAGUUGCCAACGGGUGAGUAACACGUGGGUGAUCUGCCCUGCACUUAGGGAUAAGCCUGGGAAACUGGGUCUAAUACCGGAUAGGAGCCAUUUUUAGUGUGAUGGUUGGAAAGUUUUUUCGGUGUAGGAUGAGCUCGCGGCCUAUCAGCUUGUUGGUGGGGUAAUGGCCUACCAAGGCGGCGACGGGUAGCCGGACUGAGAGGGUGGACGGCCACAUUGGGACUGAGAGACGGCCGAGGCUCCUACGGGAGGGAGCAGUGGGGAAUAUUGCACAAGGGGCGCAAGCCGGAUGCAGCGACGCCGCGUGGGGGAUGACGGCCUUCGGGUUGUAAACUACUUUCGCUAGGGACGAAGCUUUUUGUGACGGUACCUAGAGAAGAAGCACCGGCUAACUACGUG